rnacentral:rRNA from 1 species
AGAGUUUGAUCCUGGCUCAGAACGAACGCUGGCGGCAGGCCUAAUACAUGCAAGUCGAACGCCCCGCAAGGGGAGUGGCGCACGGGUGAGUAACGCGUGGGGAUGUGCCCUUGGGUACGGAACAACAUCGGGAAACUGGUGCUAAUACCGUAUAAUGACUCUGGUCCAAAGAUUUAUCGCCCAAGGAUCAACCCGCGUUGGAUUAGCUAGUUGGUGAGGUAAUGGCUCACCAAGGCUACGAUCCAUAGCUGGUCUUAGAGGAUGAUCAGCCACACUGGAACUGAGACACGGUCCAGACUCCUACGGGAGGCAGCAGUAAGGAAUAUUGGACAAUGGGGGAAACCCUGAUCCAGCCAUGCCGCGUGAAUGAAGAAGGCCUUAGGGUUGUAAAGUUCUUUUAGGGGUGACGAUAAUGACGGUAGCCCCAGAAAAAGCUCCGGCUAACUCCGUGCCAGCAGCCGCGGUAAUACGGAGGGAGCGAGCGUUGUUCGGAAUUACUGGGCGUAAAGGGUGCGCAGGCGGCCUUAUAAGUCAGAAGUGAAAGCCCUGGGCUCAACCCAGGAAUUGCUUUUGAAACUGCAAGGCUAGAGUAUCGGAGAGGUUGGCGGAAUUCCCAGUGUAGAGGUGAAAUUCGUAGAUAUUGGGAGGAACACCAGUGGCGUAAGCGGCCAACUAGACGAUUACUGACGCUCAGGCACGAAAGCGUGGGGAUCAAACAGGAUUAGAUACCCUGGUAGUCCACGCUGUAAACGAUGUGUGCUAGCUGCUGGGCAGUUUACUGUUCGGUGGCGCAGCU